CCCGGUGUGUGGUGAAAGGAGAGCCGACGGUGUGAGCUGGUUCUGCGGGGGUGCAGCCAGGAUACAUUCCAUAAUGCAACAGCCUACCAAUGUGCUUAAACUGAUAACCAGCCUACAGCAGCCGUCCUAUCAGACACUCAGAGAACCAGCCUUGCCAAUUCCCCAGUCCGUUGUCUCGUAUCAGGUUUGGGCUUUACUGGAUUAUGACUUUGGCAAAUAGUGGUAAUAUCUUGGCUCUUAAUCGUUUUAGUUUGGUAGACGUGCUGUGAAUUUCCAAUAAAGUAAUUAAAACAGGCACUAUCCCCCACAAAACCUGCUAACUAGAACAUUGAGUUGGACAUACGUUUAACAAUCGAGUUCUUCCUAACUUGUGUUGUAAUUUCUUUUUUUUUAAUCAACAAAGAGUGAGAAAUUAUGUUGUGAACAUUGCAGGGGGAAAGAGCUUAACAAAAGAAAAUACGUUGAAUUAAUUCCCUUGUAGCUCUGGUUCGGUAAUAGGCUUACUGCAUGGCUACGUGCUUUUUAGACAGGAGGUUACCACGCUUUACUGGCAGUUACCCCUGCAGUUCUGGGGGUGGAGGUUACUGUGAAAGAGUGGGCAAACUAGCCAAUCUUUCAGCAUAUUUAAAUAAAACAUGUAUUGAAUUCAACAUCUCAAAAGUCACAUAGAAUUUGAAAUGAAUCCAAUACAGAGGGUAAAAGAGUUGAAGCUUUCAGAGAAUAUGUACUGUAUAAGUGUUUGCACGUCAAUGUGAAUACUGCAGCAUACUGUGAGUUAUUUUCUGCAAAGUUACAUUUUUGCAAAUGACAGUUGAAGAUUUAAGCUGGAUUCCCCAGAAAUAUUUAACACAGCAUAUUUUAGGAUGUACAUCCCUGGGAAUGUGGUCUUUGCUGUAUAAGCAAAAACACCUUCACAUCUCUCAAGUGCACCUUAUGUUUGCUGAGAUACAGUUGCAAAGCUUGAAUUUGAGAUGUGCAUGAAGAGCAAAUAGGUAGACUGCAUAGUAGGCAGGAAGUCUCUUUAUCUAAUGUUCCGCACCUUUUCUUACCUACCUUUGAGGACAGCAUGGCUUUUACUUGGAAGAGGAGAACCAUGCUGAACAGAAAAGAGGCAGUGAAUUCUGAGGCUGUCUGCCCCCACAGACUCACAGGGAAAUCAUUUCCACUCCUAAAGCGUGAGCAGAGACAGACGUUUCAGAAAGAUUCAGCUCAGUGUGGAGUAGUGCAGGUCAGCACAGUAUUCAGCCAGGAUUCCCCAGAGAGGGGAGAUUCUGCCCGCAGCACACGUCUAUGGGCUGUAUCCAAUCAGCUGUCUCCCAGAGAGGGGAGAUUCUGUCCCCCAGCACACGUCUAUGGGC